GCAUUCGGCUGCCUUAGCACUCUGCGUCCUCGCACCGACCCUGGGGUCCUGUUUGUCCGGAGACAGCGUGGCACCAACCCAGCUGUGUGUGCUUUGGAGCUGGAUACUCCUAAACACGUUUGGGUUUGAACUCCAGCUCUGAUCCUGCCAGCGAGGAGCCUUAGAGCAAGUGACUUAACCUUCUGGGCCUCAGUUUCCCUCAUCUGAAAAUGGGCGUGAUCAAGUCACCUCCCAGGGAUAUUUUCGAGGAUGAGAGAUGAGGAAACUGAGGCACAGAGUGGCCAAGUGACUUUUUCAAUAUCAUAGGGCUGGAGAAUGGUGACUAGUUUUAAUGGCCAGCAAAAGCAGGAACAAAAGCUACCAUCUGCUUGGAAGCGUCGUUACUUUUGAACAGAAACUCUGGUGUCUGGCAGACAGCAAUGAAUUCAUCUACUUUUGCAUAGGAGUACGGUUAUCUUGCCCUUUGACUGUGCCC
rnacentral:lncRNA from 1 species